GACGAACGCUGGCGGCGUGCUUAACACAUGCAAGUCGAACGGAAAGGCCCUGCUUUUGUGGGGUGCUCGAGUGGCGAACGGGUGAGUAACACGUGAGUAACCUGCCCUUGACUUUGGGAUAACUUCAGGAAACUGGGGCUAAUACCGGAUAGGAGCUCCUGCUGCAUGGUGGGGGUUGGAAAGUUUCGGCGGUUGGGGAUGGACUCGCGGCUUAUCAGCUUGUUGGUGGGGUAGUGGCUUACCAAGGCUUUGACGGGUAGCCGGCCUGAGAGGGUGACCGGCCACAUUGGGACUGAGGUACAGCCCAGACUCCUACGGGAGGCAGCAGUGUGAAAUAUUGCACAAUGGGCAGAAGCCUGAUGCAGCAACGCCGCGUGCGAGAUGACGGCCUUCGGGUUGUAAACCGCUUUCGCCUGUGACGAAGCGUGAGUGACGGUAAUGGGUAAAGAAGCACCGGCUAACUACGUG
rnacentral:rRNA from 1 species